rnacentral:rRNA from 1 species
GACGAACGCUGGCGGCGUGCCUAAUACAUGCAAGUCGAACGCACAGUCUAUACCUUAGCUUGCUCCACCAUAGACUGACAGUUGCGUACGGCUGAGUAACGCGUACGUUACCUGCCUGGUAGCGGGGGAAAACUAUUGGAAACGCUAGCUAAUACCGCAUAAUAUUAAUUAUUGCAUGAUAAUUAAUUGAAAGGUGCAAUUGCACCACUACCAGAUGGACUUGCGUUGUAUUAGCUAGUAGGUGAGGUCACGGCUCACCUAGGCGACGAUACAUAGCCGACCUGAGAGGGUGAGCGGCCACACUGGGACUGAGACACGGCCCAGACGCCUUCGGGAGGGAGCAGUAGGGAAACUUCGGCAAGGGGCGAAAGUCUGGCCGAGCAACGCCGCGGGAGGGAAGAAGGGUGUCGGGUCGGAAAGCUCUGUUGUAAGGGAAGAAAGGGUGUGAGAGUGGAAAGUUCACACUGUGACGGUAUCUGACCAGAAAGCAACGGCUAACUACGUG